rnacentral:rRNA from 1 species
AUCUGUAGUCAUACCACUUGGAACACAACUAAUCUCAUCUGGUCUUAGAAGAUAAGCAGGAUCGGGCCUGGUUAGUACUCAAAUGGGAAAGACAAACAAACAAACCACCUCUCUAUUCCUGUAGAUUACACAUG